AUGCACCUUGUAGGAGGCAGCUGUGAGGUCUGGUUCCCUGACAUGCUGCAGCAAGUGCCUUUGCCCUGCCUGUGGGCUCCCUCCAUGGCCAACUCUGCUAUGGACACCAGAGUCCUCUGCUGUGCGGUCAUCUGUCUUCUGGGGGCAGGUCUCUCAAAUGCCGGCGUCACACAGAACCCAAGACACCUGGUCAGGAGGAGGGGACAGGAGGCAAGACUGAGAUGCAGCCCAAUGAAAGGACACAGUUAUGUUUACUGGUAUCGACAGCUCCCAGAGGAAGGUCUGAAAUUCAUGGUUUAUCUCCAGAAAGAAAAAAUCAUAGAUGAGUCAGGAAUGCCAAAGGAACGAUUUUCUGCUGAAUUUCCCAAAGAGGGCCCCAGCAUCCUGAGGAUCCAGCAGGCAGUGCGAGGAGAUUCAGCAGCUUAUUUCUGUGCCAGCUCACCACCCACAUUGAUGCAGAGCCACAUCCUCUCAGUCCACAAACAUCCUCCAGACCUGCCUUGGAAACAGCGGUGGGCUGGGAAGGGAAACGCGUUACCUGUACAGUGA